rnacentral:lncRNA from 1 species
UACAAGCAGUCCAACCAAUGCUGGGCUGAGCCAUCAUUUUGCCUGAGGGACUUUUGUAAAGCAGACAGCCCAGGCUGUUAAAGGUUCUUCCAUCCUGCUGGGCAGUGGUGGUGCAUGCCUUUAAUCCCAGCACUUGGGAGGCAGAGGCAGGUGAAUUUCUGAGUUUGAGGCCAGCCUGGCCUACAGAGUGAGUUCCAGGACAGCCAGGGCUACACAGAGAAACCCUGUCUCAGGAAAAAAAAAAAAAAAAAAAAAAAAAUCCUUCCAUCCUUUGAAAGGAAGAGGGCAAGGUUGCAGAUCCUCCCAGGAACCUGGAGUUAAUGAGCCCUGCCCCACUUACAGCUCGCAGGAGGAGGUCCCAGAGCCUUCUAACAAGUUCUUCAGAGAAGAGAGACCACCAAUAUCACCCAGCUGCAAACGCUGAGAUCUACAACAGAGACCUACUAAAAGGUAUACUCGUGAGAUAUUGGUACAACUGUUACGGGAGUUACCAUCCCCUUCACUGCUUGACUUUAGGGCCGCAAUGUGAGAUGGAGCACUGCCAAAGUGACUGAGAACCCGAGACCACUUAAGUCAAGGACACUAGGGAGAACCUAUUAUUGUUAUUCUGCUAAAGGGACUCCUAAAGAUAGAUUGCUAUACCUAUAGAUAGAUACCUAUAGAUAGAUAGAUUGCUAUACCUAUAGAUCAGCACAUUGCUGGAAUCUCAUCUGAGAAGCUUUUUCUUGAAGGAGAUGCUAAUUAACACAGAGACCCACAACUGGACAAUGUGCAGAGAGUGGUAGACUUUGGAACAUUCAGUCCUAGAUGUAAUGUCGUUAUCAAACCCCUCCCCUUAAGGCUUUGGAAUCUAUGAGGUAGAGGAAGCAGAGAUUGUAAGAAGAUGAGUUGAUGAAUGACUCCAAGGAACCAGUAUCUUCCAGACACUACUGGACUGAUGCACAGAGGAGUUCAGAGAAACUCUGGCAGCACGCACAAGACCAGGUUCAGACCAGACAAAAAUCCCAGAGCUGAGAAAAAGAUUCGGACACAAAACUUAACCAAGACUCACACCUGCUGGGAAAGAAAAACUCAGUUUUCUGCACUGGGAGUGUCAAUGGGUGUGUUAACCUCACAUCAGGGAAGGCUCCCUGACCAGGAGUAGCUAGCCAACACAAGGCAGACUCCAUGUUUUUUUUUUCCCCCUGUGGUUUUUGGUUUGCUUUUAUUUGUGUGUUUGUUGAUUGGUUGGUUGGUCUUUCUUACUGGCUUUGUUUAUUUGUUUUGAUUUUCAUUUUUUUUUUUGUUUUUGUUUUGAGAGAGAAAUCAGGAGGUGGAAUGGGUAGAAGGGCCAGGGGAAGAUCUGAGAGGAGUUGAGAGAAAGGAAGAAAUGUUCAAAAUAUAUGAAAAAAAAAAUGGAGUAGUCUGAAGCCUCUUCUGGGAUGCACAACCAUCUUUAAAUUUGAACUCUAGAGUAAAGAUUCCCUCUCCAAAGGGGAAGAGCGAAGGCAAAGUAAGGCAAGACGGGACCUAAGCAAGACGGGAACCCAGGGGAGCAAGCAGUAAAUCCUGACGAUUCGGGUCCUGUGACUGAGACUCAUGACGCAAUCCUCUGGGCUCCAGAUCAUCUCAGCCCCUCCAGUUCUGCUUCUUGAAGCACCCACACAGCCUCUCUCUUGGUGCCACCCCACUUAGGUCCAGCAGACUUUUUUCACCUGACAGCCAUGUUCUUGACAUGCCUGUGCAUCCCGACAGCCAUGGGCAUGACACCCUGGGAUUCUGUCGCAGCUUGGGCUCCGUCUUCCUGGCCUUUUAAGCCUAUCAGGUCAUCCUUGCUGGAAUUUAACCAUGUGGCACACUAUCUUGUCCCAUUGGCCUUCUGAACUUUGGUGUAAGCAACUAGAACCCUCUUACUUUAUAUGUUGCUUGCCUGAAAAACAAACACUGCGUAGAUAACACUGCCCAGAUCUGCUACCAGGUUGAGAUGUAAACCUGCCCGGUCCCUUGGACCACAGCUGCUGUGCCAAUUGUGUGCCUUCUUGACUUGCUCUUGGGAAACACACGGUUAGGGAAGCAUUUUAGAGCAGGGGAGUGCUAAGGUGACUACCUAGGUAUAGACUCUCUUUGAUAAAUCAUUUCUCUGUGGGUGAAAUGAGCCGGUUCAAGCCGAAUUAAAGUCCAUAGACACAGGUUUAUUGGGAACUGCUCUUGGACAGGUUCUCUGGCAAGAACAAGGCCAGGGAAGUUGCUAUGGGGAGGGAGACAGAGGGGAGGAGGAAAAGAAAGAGAGAACGAAUGUAUACAUGAAAGAAGCAGCAGAGGUGGGAGUGGGGGACCAAAAUGUCUGGGUUAUAUAGGAAAAAGCCUCUGGGGGAGAGGAAGCCCAGCCUGUGGGGUGGGAAGUUCAGGGUAGAGGCUGAGGUGUGCCAAGUAGGGACUGAGGGAUGCUGGGAGAACCUGGAGGCCAGGACCACUUUGGUCUGUUAAAUAUGUACCUCAGCUGUUUGUCUUGGGUCUGAAUCCCAACCCUCUUCUUUCUAUUAAUCUACAUUUUCUCAGGUUGGAGCCUUUGUUGAUGAAUGUGGUCUUGCUAAGGAGCCAUUGUCUCAGGGAAGAAUGUGGAUUUCUUUUUAGUGUUGCCAAUCCCAUUAACAACUACAGAGGUACUGUUGGCAACCCUUGGUCCACAACUUCAAAUCUGCCCUUAGCUUUCCCUCGGCAAACUGCAUACUUCUACAUCAUUCUGUGCUCCCUGUAGAACUGUAUGAAAACUGCGAGUAGCAGAUGCACCGCAGCCUGACUGCUUCAGCCUAAUAUCAACUUGAAGGGAUGGGCAGAGUGAAGCCAAACUGUUGGAGUAGAACACCAAUGGCCUCUAGCCCAGGUCCUGAGAGCCUUUGUCCCCUGAAACAUGAUUUUUCUCUGAACUCCCACAAGCCUGGCCCAUGGAACUCGGCUUACAGAAUUCCAGAGAGUCUGGAUUUUUUUUUUUUUUAAAGCUCUAAACUCUUCCACAUUCCUCCCUCAAAGUUUCAAAGACCUUCAAUCUAUAAGGUCGGGUUGAUCACAGCAACAAUCGCACUUUUGGUACUGCUUUUCUGCGACAUACACUUUUCUUGUUGCUGUGACAAAAGUCCAGAGUCUAUGAUUAUAAUAUGGUAGUGGCAUGCGCA